UACAUAGGGUGCAAGCGUUAAUCGGAAUUACUGGGCGUAAAGCGUGCGCAGGCGGUUUUGUAAGUCUGACGUGAAAUCCCCGGGCUCAACCUGGGAAUUGCGUUGGAGACUGCAAGGCUAGAAUCUGGCAGAGGGGGGUAGAAUUCCACGUGUAGCAGUGAAAUGCGUAGAGAUGUGGAGGAACACCGAUGGCGAAGGCAGCCCCCUGGGUCAAGAUUGACGCUCAUGCACGAAAGCGUGGGGAGCAAACAGG
rnacentral:rRNA from 1 species